GUGUCAGCAGCCGCGGUAAUACAGAGGUCCCAAGCGUUGUUCGGAUUCACUGGGCGUAAAGGGUGCGUAGGUGGCCAGGUAAGUCUGAUGUGAAAGCUCUGAGCUCAACUCAGAAACGGCAUUGGAAACUGCCUGGCUUGAGGAUCGGAGGGGAGACUGGAAUUCUCGGUGUAGCAGUGAAAUGCGUAGAUAUCGAGAGGAACACCAGUGGCGAAGGCGAGUCUCUGGACGAUUCCUGACGCUGAGGCACGAAAGCUAGGGGAGCAAACAGGAUUAGAAACCCCCGUAGUCC
rnacentral:rRNA from 1 species